rnacentral:lncRNA from 8 species
UGUGAGAUCCCAUAAAAUGUCUUUACAUUGUCUAAGAUUUUAACUAUGUUAGACCUGCCAUUAUGUAUGCUAUAUAUCAAACCCUAACCAGGACACUAAUAAGCCUAGUCUGAUUCCAGAUCUGUCUGUGCUUUACCCAAAUCCUCAGAAUAUUGUUGUCAAUGACAUCUGUUUGUGUUUCUGUAUCUGAUCCUAGACCAGUCUAGUGGAGAAGCACGUGGAGCAUAUUGUGGAUCUGGAGUCUGCUCUGAGACAGAGAGACAACUCGCUACAGAAGCUCAACACCCAGCUACACAGCAAGGACAUCCAAUACCUGCAGCUACAUAGCCCAGACAUUCACAUGCUGGACUAUCCUGCGCUGACCCUGCAGAGCUCUCGUAGUCUAGACACUCUGUCAGACCUGAAGCUGCAGCGUCUGGAGGCGGAGCUAGAGAGGGCGCGGCAUGAGGCCGAGCGGGCGUGUCAGAGGGAAGAGGAAGUGAAGGCCGAGUGUGAGAGACUGCAGGAGGAGCUGAGACAGAUCCAGAACAACCACAUAGGGACGGAAAUGACUUCGCCGUGUGAGCAGUGUGAUGUGGAGUGGAUAAAGAAGGUGGGAGAUGAGCAGUAAGUGACGACAACAACCAUUUUCUAUGUGACACCAUAAGACCUGCAACUUUUUAGCUGUCGGAUAGAGAGAGGGAGAGGUUGGGAGGGACGGAAGGAGAGAAAGCGAGAGGGGACUAUAAGAUAAAUAGUUUGAGAGAGAGAGAGAGAGAGAGAAACAGAGAGAGAGAGAGAGAGAGACAGGGAGACAUACAGAGGGAGAAAGAGAGAGGGAGAGAGACAGAGAGAGAGAAUAGUAGCAGACAGUAAUGUUUCACUAGGAUCUGUACCUGACUCAUAUCUGAAGGUCUAGACCAGGGAUGGGCAACUUUGAUGGGGACGGGGGCCACAAAAAAGCCUCACUCAUCAUGAGGUCCGCAGUGCUUUUUAAUGAGCAAGGCCUUAUUUCUAUUACAGCAUAUUGGAUGACUGUCAUUUAUAUUCCAUUCACUCAGCUCAACGUAACAUAGAUAGGUUGAGGCUACUACAUCAUGAGGUUGCUGCAACCUAGCCAAUAAAUGGAAGUUUAAAACGUAGGUGCACACAGGUCAAGAGAACAGUCAUGCCUUGCACACUCUUACCUGCAUCUAGCUGAUCUAGGCUGUAAUCAGUAGUCCAACGGUUGCAAAGGAGAGUAUCUAUUGGACAAAUUCAGGUAUGUUUUUCCCCGUUUGCUUCCAUUUAAGAAAAGUUUUUCAAUAGAAUCGUGCAGACUGAAUACACACCUGAACACACGCAAACAGUUCACUUUCAUAGCCACAUACAAACAGCUCGUCGUAUUCCUUCUCACAUCUACGUGCUCUCCUCCUCUCACCUUUUCCCUUUGCUUGUGGAUUUUAAUGCACAACACAUCAGCUGUCUGUGACCAGGCGCAAAAACAUUUCCAAGCCAAACCUUCAUAUCAUAACCGCUACACAAGGCCUACAUCGUUGUCACCAUAUUCGCUAAAGUAAUGUCAUAGUCAACAUAGUCUAAUAGAAAUAACGUAUUAGUUUAGCAGUUACACUGGCGGGCCACGGUGGCAAUAAUUUACCCUGAACAAAAAUAUAAACGCAACAUGAAACAGUUUUUUGGAGUUACAGUUCAUAUAAGGAAAUUAGUCAAUUGAAAUGAAUUCAUUAUACCCUAAUGUAUGGAUUUCACAUGACUGGGAAUACAGAUGCAUCUGUUCGUCACAGAUACCUUUACAAAAAAGGUAGGGGCAUGGAUCAGAAAACCAGUCAGUAUCUGAUGUGACCAAAAUUUGCCUCAUGCAGCGCGACACAUCUCCUUCGCAUAGAGUUGAUCAGGCUGUUGAUUGUGGCCUGUGG